AGUCGUAACAAGGUAGCCGUACCGGAAGGUGCGGCUGGAUCACCUCCUUUCUAAGGAGCAUCUGGCUCGUCCCCGUGUCUGCAGUAGGCAGGUGUGGGGUGGGUCCAGGCGCCUGGUUCGGACCGAACGUGUCCGACGGGUAGCUCAUGGGUGGAACAUUGACAGUGCAGUCGGGAGCGCAGCUUCCGGCCCUAGUACGCCAGCUUGCUGGUUGGGACGGGUCGGUGGUGAGCGGGUCGGCUGGUGCACGUUGUUGGGUCCUGAGGGACCAGGCUUCCCGGUCGCUGCCCCAGUGUGGGUGGUGGUGCCGGGGGUUGAGCCGGCGGAGUGAUCCGUCAGGGUUCUUCGGUGGGCCACGUGAUGGCAGGCGGUUUCGUCUGGUGGAGUGUGGUGCCGAUCGUAUGUUGAGAACUACACAGUGGACGCGAGCAUCUUUGAAAUCGCUUGCAAUGGUUGGUCGGCCUUCGGGUGGGCUUGUCGUUGUGAGUGGAUUGCAAUUUUUAAUCUUUGUGGUCAAGUUUCUAAGAGCAAACGGUGGAUGCCUUGCAC
rnacentral:misc_RNA from 1 species